CUCAUCGGAAACGCCUAGCAUUUACGUUUACGAUUUCCUUUUUUUUUUCCGAUGAAGCUGCUGUUGAUUUAUCCGUUAUUUAGGUGAGACUGUAAGUUAGUUUUUAUCAGCCCAAGAUGUCUGCCAUCGCAAACCACUUUGGGUCUUGGAUCGUGACGGCUCUGAUUGUUUUCUUCCCUUUGUAUGUAAAAGGCGACAUUGCUCCAGACAUUAUCACAAGCUACCCAGAGGACAAUUUGAUAUAUGACGAUCCUAUGGAAUAUCAACGAGCAAAACGUUCUGAUGUACAGGACGACGACGAUAAAGCGAGUGACGAUGAUGACGAACUUGCAGAUGAGGGAUUCGACGAUGAAGAUGAGGACUAUGAAGAAAACGAUCAGAACUCGAGGACCGGUGUCAGAAGCUCUUACUCUUCGGGUCUUCGUAAGAAAGAUGAGAUUGAUCAGAAGAAUGCGAUGUCAGAAGAGCAGCGGCAACAGCAGCAGCACGAGAGCAUUGAUGAUGACGAUGAUGACGAAAGCGGUUUGGAUGAAGCAGGUUGGUCUUCAGGUUCUUCUGAAGACAGUGAACGCAGUGCUGGCGAAAGUGGAAGUGCUGAGGGCAGAAAUCAAAGUUUUUAUGCAAGCAGAGAACCCGUUUCUGGAGGAGGUGGUGAUGACGACGCUUCAGCAAACAGGGAUGAAAUCGAAGGAAGCAGUGACAUGAACCGAGGACAGACUAAACUCAUCGAAUCAGAAGAGAAAAAACCUGCUGUGAGUGUGCACCGAUCUAAGCCAAGAAACUUGAUCAAAAUGGUGCUAGAAGAAUCCAGACACGCGGAACAACUUGAAAAACUGGAAACAGGGAAUCACGAAGAAACUUCAGCCCAAGACUCGGGCUCAUCGGCUGCCUUAGUUCAGGAAAGUGAUGACCAAAAGGUUUACCAUAAAGAGAGUACAGUGAAAGGAAACCAAACAGAGCUGCCACAAAAUGGAACGAGUUUACAUCAAAAUAUUCCUAGAAAUUCUUCGAAUGAAACUUCAGUUACGAUAGAAGACAAAGCUAAAAACAUGGUAAAUGAAAGUGCUUCGAAACUUCUAAGGAAUACAACGUUUCCUAAUGAGAAAACAAAAGAUGAAGGAAGAUCAAAACCUCAAGCUAAACAAGUAGACCUUGUUCGUAAACAAGAGGGAGUGCGGAAAAAGAGCGUGAAGAAAGCAUCCGUUGGAGUUUCUCAUGUGAAACACUUGGCAAGAAAGAGAGUGCACGGCAAGCAUAUGACAUCCCAUGUCGUGCAUCCACAGGUGGCAAAAAAACUUUCAAAAGUCGUGCACAAAAAGACUGUCAAUAAAGGUUCAUCACAGAUGUGUCAUACGGACAAGAUUUUUUCUGGCCAUUCCUUAAAAGGCAGCACUAGAGCUGGACAUUUUGAUACUCUGGGUGAGACCCCGAGCAUGCACGCUUGCCUUCAGCGGUGUUGCAGUAAGCACACGUGUGACGUUGCGCUUUUGAUUGAUGGACAUUGUUUUGGUGUGGCCUGUUACAGCAAGGAGCUCUGCGAACCUGUACCAAUCCCUCAUCCACAUUUCGUAUUCUCUCAACUUGGGCUUGUCAGUAAGGGGCAAAAGAGAGGAGAAAUCGAGAAGAACCGAGUGUUCCAUUGUGAAUACGGGAAUCUUACGCUGAAAAACAAUGAACAGUGGAGUGGUGAGCUUUGUGGAGGAGUUGUCACGUGCAAAGAUGGCAUAGCUACUGUGAAAAAAUGUCCGGGAAUUCCAACUAAACCAAAUGAUUGCACCAAGCCUCGACUGGUGGUAAGACACAGAAAAGGAGAAUGCUGUACAAUGAAAUGGAAAUGCAAAGCAAGACACUGUACUUUCAAUAAUCGUGUUAUCAAGCACGGUUACAAGUUGAGUGAUCCAUUAUGUACGGGAGUUUUGAGCUGUUAUAAUGGUCAGUUACACAUGGAAUACUGCCCAAAAAUACCACAAAAACCCAAGGACUGUGCGCGACCCAAGUUGAAGACUAUUAGUGUGCCUGGAAAAUGCUGCAAGAAACUUUGGGUUUGUUCAGAUAAAAGUUGUAAAUAUGAUGGCCUAAAAUUAUCGCACGGAGAGAAACUCACUGAUGCGUCAUGUGUAGUGGUCAUGGAAUGUAGAAAUGGCUUCCUUCACGAUAAACAGUGCCCAGGCCCUCCUCCGGUGCCGCGUGGGUGCAUCAAUCCCUCACUGAAGGUUAAGCGUAUUCCAGGUGAAUGCUGUGAGAUGAACUGGACAUGUGAUAUUAGAUAAAGCGACCAUCGAUUUCGCGGCUUAAAAAGGAGUGUAAAGUAUUUUAGGACCUCCGUAAAUCUGGUAUUAUGGUAAAGAAUUCCUUCGCAAAAUUUACCGGGAUGGAAAAUAUUCUGUGGUUUAUGUUCCAUUUAAAUAUUGAGCAGGACAAACCAAGCAGCCGAGUAGACUCGAUUAAAAUUUUAGACUUAACUGAAAUCAUUUUCGCUUUUCACAUUUUCGGCUGAGGAUGAGCAUUCACGAUGAGAAGACAGAUUCCCAACAACGAUAGAAGAAGAUUUUGGACUUUUCAAGGUGGUCAGAGCUGCGAAGACGACGGUCGGCAUAAGGCGGAAAAAUAGAUCACCCUAAUUCCUCUUUGUCGGGGCUUUCAUAUUGUGCUUGUAUGGACCCUCGAAAUGGAGAUUGAUGGCAAGAGACUUUUUUCAACCACCCAAUUCUGUGGGGAAUUCUUAACUGCUUUGUGUUGUCCAAAGUUCAGCCCUGAAUUUUCUAAAAAAUCAAUUUAAAAAUAUGUUGUUGUUGGAGGCGGAUGUAAAAUAUACUGUAAAUAUAAUUGUUUGUUUUUUUGGUGCACUAGAACAUUGUGAAUCACAAUUCAUGUAGGCCAAAAAGUCCUCUGUACGUCCUUGCAUUUAUUUAGCUAUUUAUUACAAUGUACUUCUCAAUAAAUUCAGGCUUUUUUAAGGGUAAGUGAAGAGCUUGUAUAAUUGGACAGUACGCGUCUUAUGUGCGCGCUGUUGCCGUGCAUUUCACCGAGUUAAAAGUUUUUUUCAUGAAAAACGUCUACCCCGGCAAUGGC